UAGGGAAUCUUCCACAAUGGACGCAAGUCUGAUGGAGCAACGCCGCGUGAGUGAAGAAGGUUUUCGGAUCGUAAAGCUCUGUUGUUGGUGAAGAAGGAUAGAGGCAGUAACUGGUCUUUAUUUGACGGUAAUCAACCAGAAAGUCACGGCUAACUACGUGCCAGCAGCCGCGGUAAUACGUAGGUGGCAAGCGUUGUCCGGAUUUAUUGGGCGUAAAGCGAGCGCAGUCGGAAUGAUAAGUCUGAUGUGAAAGCCCACGGCUCAACCGUGGAACUGCAUCGGAAACUGUCAUUCUUGAGUGCAGAAGAGGAGAGUGGAAUUCCAUGUGUAGCGGUGGAAUGCGUAGAUAUAUGGAAGAACACCAGUGGCGAAGGCGGCUCUCUGGUCUGCAACUGACGCUGAGGCUCGAAAGCAUGGGUAGCGAACAGG
rnacentral:rRNA from 1 species